rnacentral:rRNA from 1 species
AGUGAACGCUGGCGGUAGGCCUAACACAUGCAAGUCGAACGGCAGCACAGUAAGAGCUUGCUCUUACGGGUGGCGAGUGGCGGACGGGUGAGGCAUACAUCGGAAUCUACUUUUUCGUGGGGGAUAACGUAGGGAAACUUACGCUAAUACCGCAUACGACCUACGGGUGAAAGCAGGGGAUCUUCGGACCUUGCGCGAUUGAAUGAGCCGAUGUCGGAUUAGCUAGUUGGCGGGGUAAAGGCCCACCAAGGCGACGAUCCGUAGCUGGUCUGAGAGGAUGAUCAGCCACACUGGAACUGAGACACGGUCCAGACCCCUACGGGAGGCAGCAGUGGGGAAUAUUGGACAAUGGGCGCAAGCCUGAUCCAGCCAUACCGCGUGGGUGAAGAAGGCCUUCGGGUUGUAAAGCCCUGUUGUUGGGAAAGAAAAGCAGCAGGUUAAUACCCCGCUGUUCUGACGGUACCCAAAGAAUAAGCACCGGCUAACUUCGUG